rnacentral:rRNA from 1 species
UACAUGGGGUGCAAACGUUGCUCGGAAUCAUUGGGCGUAAAGCGCGCGUAGGCGGUUACUUAUGUCGGAUGUGAAAGCCCUCGGCUUAACUGGGGAAGUGCAUUCGAAACUGGGUAGCUAGAGUACUAAAGAGGGUCGCGGAAUUCCCGGUGUAGAGGUGAAAUUCGUAGAUAUCGGGAGGAACACCGGUGGCGAAGGCGGCGACCUGGGUAGAUACUGACGCUGAGGCGCGAAAGCUAGGGGAGCAAACAGG